rnacentral:rRNA from 1 species
CUGGCGGAAUGCUUAAUACAUGCAAGUCGAACGAAGAGGCUCUUUCGGGGGUACUUCAGUGGCGGACGGGUGAGUAACGCGUUGGUAAUCUACCUUACACUGGGGGAUAACAUCUGGAAACGGGUGCUAAUACCGCAUAUGUGUGUUGUUGGGAUACAUCACAUGAAAGAAUUUCGGUGUAAGAUGAGCCUGCGUAUGAUUAGCUAGAUGGUGGGGUAACGGCCUACCAUGGCGAUGAUCAUUAGUUGGUCUGAGAGGAUGGCCAGCCACAGUGGGACUGAGACACGGCCCACACUCCUACGGGAGGCAGCAGUAGGGAAUAUUGCGCAAUGGACGAAAGUCUGACGCAGCAAUUCCGCGUGAAGGAUGAAGCCUUUAGGGGUGUAAACUUCUGUCAAUAGGGAAGAACUAGACGGUACCUAUAGAGGAAGCACCGGCUAACUACGUGCCAGCAGCCGCGGUAAUACGUAGGGUGCGAGCGUUGUCCGGAAUUAUUGGGCGUAAAGCGUCCGUAGGCGGUUAAUUAAGUCUAAUGUAAAAGGCAUCUGCUCAACAGAUGUUGUGUAUUGGAAACUAGUUGACUAGAGUAUGGUAGAGGUUGCUGGAAUUCCAGGAGUAGCGGUGAAAUGCGUAGAUAUCUGGAGGAACACCGGUGGCGAAAGCGGGCAACUGGACCAUAACUGACGCUAAUGGACGAAAGCUAGGGUAGCGAAAGGGAUUAGAUACCCCUGUAGUCCUAGCCGUAACGAUGAACACUAGGUGUUGGGUGAAUCGAC